AACGCACAUUGCGCCCAUUGGUAUUCCGAUGGGCAUGCCUGUUCGAGCGUCAUUAUCCUCCCUCAAAACCCCGCGUUUUGGUGUUGGGCCGCGUCGUUGAGACACACGACGGGCCUCAAAGACAAUGACGGCGUCCGUGGGACCCUCGGUGCAACGAGCUUCUCCGUAAGCACGCCCCGAGCCAAGGUCCCCCGGGCCCGGUCGCCUCAGUUAAUUUUUUCUCAGGUUGACCUCGGAUCAGGUAGGAAUACCCGCUGAACUUAA
rnacentral:misc_RNA from 1 species